AACGAACGCUGGCGGCAGGCCUAACACAUGCAAGUCGAACGGGUGUCUUCGGACACUAGUGGCGGACGGGUGAGUAACGCGUGGGAACGUGCCCUUUGGUUCGGAAUAGCCCUGGGAAACUGGGAGUAAUACCGGAUACGGUCGAGAGACGAAAGAUUUAUCGCCGAAGGAUCGGCCCGCGUUGGAUUAGGUAGUUGGUGGGGUAAUGGCCUACCAAGCCGACGAUCCAUAGCUGGUUUGAGAGGAUGAUCAGCCACACUGGGACUGAGACACGGCCCAGACUCCUACGGGAGGCAGCAGUGGGGAAUCUUAGACAAUGGGGGAAACCCUGAUCUAGCCAUGCCGCGUGAGCGAUGAAGGCCUUAGGGUUGUAAAGCUCUUUCAGUGGGGAAGAUAAUGACGGUACCCACAGAAGAAGCCCCGGCUAACUCCGUGCCAGCCGCCGCAGUAACAC
rnacentral:rRNA from 1 species